rnacentral:ncRNA from 2 species
AUAAUGACAACUCCUACAGGUGUUUCAUGGAAUUAAAGGUUUGAUUUCAUGAAAAUAAUUGGGAAGUCGGUCCGCGCAAAUUCACGUCCCACAGCGCAAACCCGACGCUGCCCCCGCAACGGUAGGAGAGGAAUAGAGACCACACGGUAUCCACUGGAUUAACUCUGGGAAGGAUGUGAUCUCUGCCAUAAUUUAUGGCCCUCUCGAGCCCGGAAACCAGCCUGAGGCAAGUCUAGUAG